GAUGAACGCUGGCGGCGUGCCUAAUACAUGCAAGUCGAGCGAACGGACGAGAAGCUUGCUUCUCUGAUGUUAGCGGCGGACGGGUGAGUAACACGUGGAUAACCUACCUAUAAGACUGGGAUAACUUCGGGAAACCGGAGCUAAUACCGGAUAAUAUUUUGAACCGCAUGGUUCAAAAGUGAAAGACGGUCUUGCUGUCACUUAUAGAUGGAUCCGCGCUGCAUUAGCUAGUUGGUAAGGUAACGGCUUACCAAGGCAACGAUGCAUAGCCGACCUGAGAGGGUGAUCGGCCACACUGGAACUGAGACACGGUCCAGACUCCUACGGGAGGCAGCAGUAGGGAAUCUUCCGCAAUGGGCGAAAGCCUGACGGAGCAACGCCGCGUGAGUGAUGAAGGUCUUCGGAUCGUAAAACUCUGUUAUUAGGGAAGAACAUAUGUGUAAGUAACUGUGCACAUCUUGACGGUACCUAAUCAGAAAGCCACGGCUAACUACGUGCCAGCAGCCGCGGUAAUACGUAGGUGGCAAGCGUUAUCCGGAAUUAUUGGGUGUAAAGCGCGCGUAGGCGGUUUUUUAAGUCUGAUGUGAAAGCCCACGGCUCAACCGUGGAGGGUCAUUGGAAACUGGAAAACUUGAGUGCAGAAGAGGAAAGUGGAAUUCCAUGUGUAGCGGUGAAAUGCGCAGAGAUAUGGAGGAACACCAGUGGCGAAGGCGACUUUCUGGUCUGUAACUGACGCUGAUGUGCGAAAGCGUGGGGAUCAAACAGGAUUAGAUACCCUGGUAGUCCACGCCGUAAACGAUGAGUGCUAAGUGUUAGGGGGUUUCCGCCCCUUAGUGCUGCAGCUAACGCAUUAAGCACUCCGCCUGGGGAGUACGACCGCAAGGUUGAAACUCAAAGGAAUUGACGGGGACCCGCACAAGCGGUGGAGCAUGUGGUUUAAUUCGAAGCAACGCGAAGAACCUUACCAAAUCUUGACAUCCUUUGACAACUCUAGAGAUAGAGCUUUCCCCUUCGGGGGACAAAGUGACAGGUGGUGCAUGGUUGUCGUCAGCUCGUGUCGUGAGAUGUUGGGUUAAGUCCCGCAACGAGCGCAACCCUUAAGCUUAGUUGCCAUCAUUAAGUUGGGCACUCUAAGUUGACUGCCGGUGACAAACCGGAGGAAGGUGGGGAUGACGUCAAAUCAUCAUGCCCCUUAUGAUUUGGGCUACACACGUGCUACAAUGGACAAUACAAAGGGCAGCGAAACCGUGAGGUCAAGCAAAUCCCAUAAAGUUGUUCUCAGUCCGGAUUGUAGUCUGCAACCCGACUACAUGAAGCUGGAAUCGCUAGUAAUCGUAGAUCAGCAUGCUACGGUGAAUACGUUCCCGGGUCU
rnacentral:rRNA from 1 species